rnacentral:rRNA from 1 species
UCGAGAAUCUUUCGCAAUGGGCGCAAGCCUGACGAAGCGACGCCGUGUGUGUGAUGAAGGUUUUAGGAUCGUAAAGCACUUUCGCCUGUGAGCAAGAAUUUCCUUCUAAUAAAAGGUUAUUUUGAGAGUAGCAGGUAAAGAAGCGCCGGCCAACUACGUGCCAGCAGCUGCGGUAAUACGUAGGGCGCAAGCAUUAAUCGGAUUUAUUGGGUGUAAAGGGUGCGUAGGCUGCUGAGUAAGUUGGAUGUGAAAUUCCGGAGUUCAUCUUCGGACUGCAUACAAAACUGCUCAGCUAGAGUAUAAGAGGGGAAAGCGGAAUUCCACAAGUAGCGGUGAAAUGCGUAGAUAUG